GACGAACGCUGGCGGCGUGCUUAACACAUGCAAGUCGAGCGGUAAGGCCUUUCGGGGUACACGAGCGGCGAACGGGUGAGUAACACGUGGGUGAUCUGCCCUGCACUUCGGGAUAAGCCUGGGAAACUGGGUCUAAUACCGGAUAUGACCUCCUAUCGCAUGGUGGGUGGUGGAAAGAUUUAUCGGUGCAGGAUGGGCCCGCGGCCUAUCAGCUUGUUGGUGGGGUAAUGGCCUACCAAGGCGACGACGGGUAGCCGACCUGAGAGGGUGACCGGCCACACUGGGACUGCGACACGGCCCAGACUCCUACGGGAGGCAGCAGUGGGGAAUAUUGCACAAUGGGCGAAAGCCUGAUGCAGCGACGCCGCGUGAGGGAUGACGGCCUUCGGGUUGUAAACCUCUUUCAGCAGGGACGAAGCGCAAGUGACGGUACCUGCAGAAGAAGCACCGGCUAACUACGUG
rnacentral:rRNA from 1 species